rnacentral:rRNA from 1 species
UACGUAGGGGGCAAGCGUUGUCCGGAUUUAUUGGGCGUAAAGAGCGUGUAGGCGGCCAGGUAGGUCCGUUGUGAAAACUCGAGGCUCAACCUCGAGACGUCGGCGGAAACCCUCUGGCUAGAGUCCGGAAGAGGAGAGUGGAAUUCCUGGUGUAGCGGUGAAAUGCGCAGAUAUCAGGAAGAACACCCGUGGCGAAGGCGGCUCUCUGGGGACGGUACUGACGCUGAGACGCGAAAAGCGUGGGGGAGCAAAACAGGG